rnacentral:rRNA from 1 species
UGAGGAAUAUUGGACAAUGGGCGCAAGCCUGAUCCAGCCAUGCCGCGUGAGUGAUGAAGGUCUUAGGAUUGUAAAGCUCUUUCACCGGAGAAGAUAAUGACGGUAUCCGGAGAAGAAGCCCCGGCUAACUUCGUGCCAGCAGCCGCGGUAAUACGAAGGGGGCUAGCGUUGUUCGGAAUUACUGGGCGUAAAGCGCACGUAGGCGGAUAUUUAAGUCGGGGGUGAAAUCCCAGAGCUCAACUCUGGAAUUGCCUUUGAUACUGGGUAUCUAGAGUAUGGAAGAGGUGAGUGGAAUUCCGAGUGUAGAGGUGAAAUUCGUAGAUAUUCGGAGGAACACCAGUGGCGAAGGCGGCUCACUGGUCCAUUACUGACGCUGAGGUGCGAAAGCGUGGGGAGCAAACAGGAUUAGAUACCCGGGUAGUCCCUGAGCGGGCUGGCAAGGCGCAU